GAUCUCAUAUUUUGUCACAACAGCAAAAGAGAAAUGUCCCUACACUAAAUAUGAGUGCUGGGAAUUCCCUGUGCAUACGUUGGAUCCCAUAUUAACAGAAGAAUUAAAGGAAUACUCCACCCCAAAAUGAAAAUUUUGUCCUUAAUCACUUACCCUCAUGUCGUUCCAAACCCGUAAAAGCUCAGUUCAUCUUCGGAACACAAUUUAAGAUAUUUUGGAUGAAAACCUGCAGGCUUGAGACUGUCCCAUAUACUGCCAAGUAAAUAACAGUGUCAAGGUCCAUAAAAGCAGGUGAAGCGUGUGUUGGGAUUCAGAGAGAAGAUUCCUAUGACUUUGAGCUGCCCAACGCUGUAGCGGUGAACGUGCAAGACCCUGCGUGUGAUGCGGAGUGGACCAUUGACCAAUUCACAGCAUUCCUGGAUGGAAAUUCAACUCACUGUCCUCAUCCCUUCAAAAAAGUGACUCGUCGGGGGAUCAGUGUGUCUUACUGUCCAGCUUCAGUCAAAUUCCACGUCUCUUGUCCAAUAUACACCAAAGUCCUCACAUGUUGUUGCACAAAUUCCACCAAAAAUCCAGUUUAUAACACAACCCUGCCAUCUGGAGAUAUGUCUUCCUCUGCCAUCAAAACUGAUUCAUCAGUGAGGAUACACUAUUGUGCCAUUGCUGUUGCUGUCACGUUUGCCUUAACCCUCGUCAUCUUGGCUUUCCUCAUCUGCAGGACAAACAGCAGUGCAAAAUAUGCUCCUACAAGAGCCUCAGCUGAUGGACAAAACCAGCCUUGUUCAGUAUAAUUAUCCUAAGGAGGCAUCUGAACUUGCACUAGAAACACAUGGCGUGGAGUCAUGACAACACAUUAUCCGAUAAUGUAACAUGUAUUAUAUUAUAUUAUAUUAUAUUAUAUUAUAUUAUAUUAUAUUAUAUUAUAUUAUAUUAGAGAAAACAUAAGCACUAAAUGAAACAGUAAAAUAUCUGAAUUUUACUA
ensembl:lncRNA